UUGUAGGACACUCUAUACGGAGUUACAAAGGACGACAUUAGACGAAUCAUCUGGAAAGAUGAAUCAAAGAAGGUAAUAAUCCUGUAGUCGAAAAUGUUGUCUCUCUUGAGUGGAUCCUGAGUACGACGGAGCACGUGAAAUUCCGUCGGAAUCUGGGAGGACCAUCUCCUAAGGCUAAAUACUCUCUAGUGACCGAUAGUGAACCAGUACCGUGAGGGAAAGGUGAAAAGCACCCCGGAAGGGGAGUGAAAUAGAACCUGAAACCGUGUGCUUACAAGUAGUCAGAGCCCGUUAAUGGGUGAUGGCGUGCCUUUUGUAGAAUGAACCGGCGAGUUACGAUUUGAUGCAAGGUUAAGCAGUAAAUGUGGAGCCGUAGCGAAAGCGAGUCUGAAUAGGGCGUUUAGUAUUUGGUCGUAGACCCGAAACCAGGUGAUCUACCCUUGGUCAGGUUGAAGUUCAGGUAACACUGAAUGGAGGACCGAACCGACUUACGUUGAAAAGUGAGCGGAUGAACUGAGGGUAGCGGAGAAAUUCCAAUCGAACCUGGAGAUAGCUGGUUCUCUCCGAAAUAGCUUUAGGGCUAGCCUCAAGUGAUGAUUAUUGGAGGUAGAGCACUGUUUGGACGAGGGGCCCCUCUCGGGUUACCGAAUUCAGACAAACUCCGAAUGCCAAUUAAUUUAACUUGGGAGUCAGAACAUGGGUGAUAAGGUCCGUGUUCGAAAGGGAAACAGCCCAGACCACCAGCUAAGGUCCCAAAAUAUAUGUUAAGUGGAAAAGGAUGUGGCGUUGCCCAGACAACUAGGAUGUUGGCUUAGAAGCAGCCAUCAUUUAAAGAGUGCGUAAUAGCUCACUAGUCGAGUGACACUGCGCCGAAAAUGUACCGGGGCUAAACAUAUUACCGAAGCUGUGGAUUGUCCUUUGGACAAUGGUAGGAGAGCGUUCUAAGGGCGUUGAAGCAUGAUCGUAAGGACAUGUGGAGCGCUUAGAAGUGAGAAUGCCGGUGUGAGUAGCGAAAGACGGGUGAGAAUCCCGUCCACCGAUUGACUAAGGUUUCCAGAGGAAGGCUCGUCCGCUCUGGGUUAGUCGGGU
rnacentral:rRNA from 1 species